GACGAACGCUGGCGGCGUGCUUAACACAUGCAAGUCGAACGGAAAGGCCCUGCUUGCAGGGUACUCGAGUGGCGAACGGGUGAGUAACACGUGGGUGAUCUGCCCUGCACUUCGGGAUAAGCCUGGGAAACUGGGUCUAAUACCGGAUAGGAGCCAUUUUUAGUGUGAUGGUUGGAAAGUUUUUUCGGUGUAGGAUGAGCUCGCGGCCUAUCAGCUUGUUGGUGGGGUAAUGGCCUACCAAGGCGGCGACGGGUAGCCGGCCUGAGAGGGUGGACGGCCACAUUGGGACUGAGAUACGGCCCAGACUCCUACGGGAGGCAGCAGUGGGGAACAUUGCACAAUGGGCGCAAGCCUGAUGCAGCGACGCCGCGUGGGGGAUGACGGCCUUCGGGUUGUAAACUCCUUUCGCUAGGGACGAAGCUUUUUGUGACGGUACCUAGAUAAGAAGCACCGGCUAACUACGUG
rnacentral:rRNA from 1 species